UACGUAGGGGGCAAGCGUUGUCCGGAUUUACUGGGCGUAAAGCGCGCGUAGGCGGAACUUCAAGUCCGGUCUGAAAGCCCCCGGCUCAACCGGGGAGGGUGGCUGGAAACUGGGGUUCUUGAGGGCGAGAGAGGAGGGUGGAAUUCCGGGUGUAGCGGUGGAAUGCGUAGAGAUCCGGAAGAACACCGGUGGCGAAGGCGGCCUGCUGGGCAGUUUGGCUGACACUGAGGCGCGACAGCGUGGGGAGCAAACAGG
rnacentral:rRNA from 1 species